GCCCCCUCCUCGCGCUCGGGGAGACCCGGAGCGGACAGGUCUCCUCUCCAGAUGCCCAAGCGGCGCGCGCCAAGCCUGAGGCGGCUGCUUCAAGCAGAACCCGCGAAGGACGGGUUCCUAUUGGAGGCGCCCUCCGACCAGACUUUCAGGAACCUUAUCACAUGCCCACCACACCGAUGCUGUUUCACCAGAAAGCAUUGCAAAACUGCAGCUGCACCAGGCGACUCCAGCACCCUGCGCGCUGAUCAAAUGCGGCAAUGUUUUUUCCAUCACACGAAGGGUCGCCCAGUCGGGGCAAAAGUGUGCUGACUCAAUUGAAGCCAGCACAAUACAGGAGGCCUCCUAUGUUGACAAGGAAGAGUCCUAGGAUGCUAUCAUGUGGGGGCGGGGCUCCACCAGAAGUUGAGGGACAUCAUGUGAUAGGCUGUGUACCUAUCUAACCCUCAACUGGCUAGCAAGCAUCCUAGAAUGCUUAAAUUGCUUGUGAUCCAUUUAUCUGCAAGUGCUGGUGGAGGAAGAAGAUUUAUUUGAAGCAGAGAAAGACAUAAAGAAGGUAUAAUGCUUCGAGAAAUUUACAAAGGACAUUUUAAAGCACCUGUUGUUGCUGUUGUAUUUUCCAUUUUCUCUACCUGAUAGGGAAAAAAGAAGAGCGCAACUUGAGGUUAAUUCAUUUCUGUGGUUGCUGCAGCAACUAGUCUGACUUCACACUCUAUGGGUUGGAAUUCAUUGUCUUUGCUUUUUAGAUGGACAAGCAGUGUUGGCCUAGGAAUGGGGGCACCAAAACAAAUUCUGCCUUUGUGACUUUGGGAACAAUACAAGCCUUGUGUUCUUCAGUAGCACCAGUAACAGUGUCAGCAGAGCAGGUAGAAAGAGGGAGGCAGAGAGUGACACACUGUCAGCACAAGACAGUGUCAUUCAGGUUGUGUUUGAACCACUGGGUGGUUUUGAAGUUGACAGCCAGAAAUGAUUGAAUGUGCAAGGUUACACAUGCAUCUCCUUAUGAAAUAUCUGUUCUGAUGCAAGAUGCAGAAAGAGGAAAGCCAUAUAACUCUUUGAUGACUUCCUUCGUCAGAAAUCAUGACGAGCAGGUGCCCGGGCAGAGUAGUCCUUGAUCUGAACUUCUGAAGUUUUUAUAAGCAACAAUGGCAACCCGUGAAAUUGCAGAGGUCUGAUCGAAAAAGAAAGAUUUCCAGUUAAUCCAAAAGUUUACCUUUUUUGAGCUCAGGAAAAAAAUGUUUGAAUUCCAGGCCAUUGCAAUAGACAAAUAAAAAUAAGUAAUUAAAACACAGUAUGAUCCCCUUAUCCACUAAUAUAAUAACUACUUACCCAUACUUCAAAUAAUAUCGUCCCCCUCCCAAAGUGUUUGUGGCUUUAUCUGGUACUCCAAUGCAUAUAUGAUAUUUUCCAGCUCAUAUAUAGUCAAAACAUAGGUUUUGCUAUUAUCCCUAGUUUUAGAGACCAAAUUACCAAUAUCCGCUGGAUAAUGAAGGAAGGAAGGGAGUUUCAGAAAAACAUCUAUUUCUGUUUUAUUGACUAUUCUAAAGCCUUUAACAGUGUAGGGUAUAAUAAAUUGUGGCAAGUUCUUGGUGGUAUGGGGAUACCAAGUCACCUUGUCUGAUAACUGAUUAAUAACUGGCAAAUAGAGGCAGUGACAGACUUUGUAUUUCUAGGCACAAAGAUUACUGCAGACGCAGGCUGCAGCCAGGAAAUCAGAAAACAUUUACUUCUUGGGAGAAGAGCAAUGACCAAUCUCAAUAAAAAAGUGAAGAUUAGAGACAUCACACAGGCAAUGAAGGUCCACAUAGUUAUAGCAAUGGUAUUCCCUGUAGUAACCUGUGGAUGCGAGAGCUGUACCAUAA